UACAGAGGGUGCGAGCGUUAAUCGGAAUUACUGGGCGUAAAGCGCACGUAGGUGGCGACGUAAGUCGGGUGUGAAAGCCCCGGGCUCAACCUGGGAAUUGCAUUCGAGACUGAAUAGCUAGGGUACGGUAGAGGGAAGUGGAAUUUCCGGUGUAGCGGUGAAAUGCGUAGAUAUCGGAAGGAACAUCAGUGGCGAAAGCGACUUCCUGGACCAGUACCGACGUUCAGGCACGAAAGCGUGGGGGAGCAAACAGG
rnacentral:rRNA from 1 species